rnacentral:miRNA from 1 species
AGUGGAUGUACCCUCGGUUCGAUG